ensembl:lncRNA
GUUAAAUUCCAGCUCAUCUGGGUCCCAAGUAGUGCCCCCUCUCCUGGCUCAGGAGACCGCUUGGGGAUGACGCACAAAAGUUCAAUGCUUAAUUCUUAGACCAGCCAGAAGAAACUGAGUAGAGGAAAGUAUUCUUCCUCUGCUUCACGAAGAAGAUAGCCGCCAUCCCUCAGGCUGGAGAAACAAAGAGAAGAAGAUGGGGUGAUCCCAAGAGUGUGGAGGAGCAGCCCCAUUCUGCACUGGAACCCGGGUCUCUGCAGAUGUGGCUGCGCCAGAGGAAGCUGAAAACUGAAGCCCACAGCUGCUGCCAGACUCCCUUUAGCGCCCCGUGCACAACGCCACCCAGGAAGCAGCUAGCAAAGCAGAAACGGGCUUUGCAGAGCUCUGACCGCAGAGCAGGGUCCGGAAAGUGUGCAGAGAGGAGAGAUGACCCCUCCACUACCUGCCCACCUACGAUUCGUCGUCCUGCGUGGACUAGAGAGACGGCAGCUCAGGGCACAGGGCAGCAGUGAAGCUGUAUGCUCACACUCCGUGCAUUUAUCAUCUUCCAAUUCCCUUCCACGACUGGCAUGCAUCAGGACACCACUUUGUGUUUAUAAAAAUUGCC